rnacentral:rRNA from 1 species
UACGUAGGGUGCGAGCGUUAAUCGGAAUUACUGGGCGUAAAGCGUGCGCAGGCGGUUGGGCAAGACAGAUGUGAAAUCCCCGGGCUCAACCUGGGAACUGCAUCUGUGACUGCAUAGCUAGAGUACGGUAGAGGGGGAUGGAAUUCCGCGUGUAGCAGUGAAAUGCGUAGAUAUGCGGAGGAACACCGAUGGCGAAGGCAAUCCCCUGGACCUGUACUGACGCUCAUGCACGAAAAGCGUGGGGGAGCAAACAGG